rnacentral:rRNA from 1 species
AUUGAACGCUGGCGGCAGGCCUAACACAUGCAAGUCGAGCGGAUGAAGGGAGCUUGCUCCUGGAUUCAGCGGCGGACGGGUGAGUAAUGCCUAGGAAUCUGCCUGGUAGUGGGGGAUAACGUCCGGAAACGGGCGCUAAUACCGCAUACGUCCUGAGGGAGAAAGUGGGGGAUCUUCGGACCUCACGCUAUCAGAUGAGCCUAGGUCGGAUUAGCUAGUUGGUGGGGUAAAGGCCUACCAAGGCGACGAUCCGUAACUGGUCUGAGAGGAUGACCAGUCACACUGGAACUGAGACACGGUCCAGACUCCUACGGGAGGCAGCAGUGGGGAAUAUUGGACAAUGGGCGAAAGCCUGAUCCAGCCAUGCCGCGUGUGUGAAGAAGGUCUUCGGAUUGUAAAGCACUUUAAGUUGGGAGGAAGGGCAGUAAGUUAAUACCUUGCUGCUUUGACGUUACCAACAGAAUAAGCACCGGCUAACUUCGUG